rnacentral:rRNA from 1 species
UACGUAGGGUGCAAGCGUUAAUCGGAAUUACUGGGCGUAAAGCGUGCGCAGGCGGUUGUGCAAGACAGAUGUGAAAUCCCCGGGCUUAACCUGGGAAUUGCAUUUGUGACUGCCCGGCUAGAGUGUGUCAGAGGGGGGUGGAAUUCCACGUGUAGCAGUGAAAUGCGUAGAUAUGUGGAGGAAUACCGAUGGCGAAGGCAGCCCCCUGGGAUAACACUGACGCUCAUGCACGAAAGCGUGGGGAGCAAACAGG